rnacentral:rRNA from 1 species
UCGGGAAUUUUGGGCAAUGGGCGAAAGCCUGACCCAGCAACGCCGCGUGAGGGAUGAAGUAUUUCGGUAUGUAAACCUCGAAAGAAUGGGAAGAAUAACUGACGGUACCAUCUAUAAGCUCCGGCUAACUACGUGCCAGCAGCCGCGGUAAUACGUAGGGAGCAAGCGUUGUUCGGAUUUACUGGGCGCAAAGGGCGCGUAGGCGGCGCGGUAAGUCACUUGUGAAAUCUCUGAGCUUAACUCAGAACGGCCAAGUGAUACUGCUGUGUUAGAGUGCGGAAGAGGCAACCGGAAUUCUUGGUGUAGCGGUGAAAGGCGUAGAUAUCAAGAGGACCACCUGAGGCGAAGGCGGGUUGCUGGGCCGACACUGACGCUGAUGCGCGAAAGCCAGGGGA